UAAGGAAUAUUGGUCAAUGGACGCAAGUCUGAACCAGCCAUGCCGCGUGAAGGAUGAAGGUCCUCUGGAUUGUAAACUUCUUUUAUCUGGGACGAAAACGGGAUUUUUAUCUCAAUUGACGGUACCAGAGGAAUAAGCACCGGCUAACUCCGUGCCAGCAGCCGCGGUAAUACGGAGGGUGCGAGCGUUAUCCGGAUUUACUGGGUUUAAAGGGUGCGUAGGUGGGCUUAUAAGUCAGUGGUGAAAUCUCCGAGCUUAACUUGGAAACUGCCGUUGAUACUAUAGGUCUUGAAUUAUCUGGAGGUAAGCGGGAUAUGUCAUGUAGCGGUGAAAUGCUUAGAUAUGACAUAGAACACCAAUUGCGAAGGCAGCUUACUACAUAUAAAUUGACGCUGAGGCACGGAAGCGUGGGGAUCAAACA
rnacentral:rRNA from 1 species